CCCAAGGGAAUGCCUCAGUAACGGCGAGUGAAGCGGCAAAAGCUCAAAUUGAAAUCUAGCACCUUCGGUGUUCGAGUUGUAAUUUGAAGAUGCGUAACCUUGGGUUUGGCUCUUGUCUAUGUUCCUUGGAACAGGACGUCAUAGAGGGUGAGAAUCCCGUCUGAUGAGAUGCCCAUUCCUAUGUAAGGUGCUAUCGAAGAGUCGAGUUGUUUGGGAAUGCAGCUCUAAGUGGGUGGUAAAUUCCAUCUAAAGCUAAAUAUUGGCGAGAGACCGAUAGCGAACAAGUACAGUGAUGGAAAGAUGAAAAGAACUUUGAAAAGAGAGUGAAAAAGUACGUGAAAUUGUUGAAAGGGAAGGGCAUUAGAUCAGACUUGGUGUUUUACGAUUAUCUUCUCUUCUUGAGUUGUGCACUCGUAUUUCACUGGGCCAGCAUCGAUUCGGAUGGCAAGAUAAUGGCAGUUGAAUGUGGCUUCACUUCGGUGGAGUGUUAUAGCUUCUGCUGAUAUUGCCUGUCUGGAUCGAGGGCUGCGUCUUUUGACUAGGAUGCUGGCGUAAUGAUCUAAUGCCG
rnacentral:rRNA from 1 species